rnacentral:rRNA from 2 species
GCAGCCUGAUCCAGCCAUGCCGCGUGGGUGAAGAAGGCCUUCGGGUUGUAAAGCCCUUUUGUUGGGAAAGAAAAGCAGUCGGUUAAUACCCGAUUGUUCUGACGGUACCCAAAGAAUAAGCACCGGCUAACUUCGUGCCAGCAGCCGCGGUAAUACGAAGGGUGCAAGCGUUACUCGGAAUUACUGGGCGUAAAGCGUGCGUAGGUGGUGGUUUAAGUCUGUUGUGAAAGCCCUGGGCUCAACCUGGGAAUUGCAGUGGAUACUGGGUCACUAGAGUGUGGUAGAGGGUAGCGGAAUUCCCGGUGUAGCAGUGAAAUGCGUAGAGAUCGGGAGGAACAUCCGUGGCGAAGGCGGCUACCUGGACCAACACUGACACUGAGGCACGAAAGCGUGGGGAGCAAACAGGAUUAGAUACCCUGGUAGUCCACGCCCUAAACGAUGCGAACUGGAUGUUGGGUGCAAUUUGGCACGCAGUAUCGAAGCUAACGCGUUAAGUUCGCCGCCUGGGGAGUACGGUCGCAAGACUGAAACUCAAAGGAAUUGACGGGGGCCCGCACAAGCGGUGGAGUAUGUGGUUUAAUUCGAUGCAACGCGAAGAACCUUACCUGGUCUUGACAUCCACGGAACUUUCCAGAG